rnacentral:rRNA from 1 species
UACGUAGGUGGCAAGCGUUGUCCGGAUUUAUUGGGCGUAAAGCGUUUCGUAGGUGGGUUUGUAAGUUAUUUUUCAAAGACCACGGCUCAACCGGGGGAAGGGAGAUAAUACUGCAAGUCUUGAUUUUUGGUGGGGUAUCUGGAACUGAUGGUGUAGUAGUGAAAUACGUUGAUAUCAUCAGGAACUCCAAGGGCGAAGGCAGGAUACUAACCAAUUAAUGACACUGAGGAACGACAGCUAGGGGAGCGAAAGGG